UACGGAGGGAGCUAGCGUUGUUCGGAAUUACUGGGCGUAAAGCGCACGUAGGCGGCUUUGUAAGUUAGAGGUGAAAGCCCGGGGCUCAACUCCGGAACUGCCUUUAAGACUACAUCGCUUGAAUCCGGGAGAGGUGAGUGGAAUUCCGAGUGUAGAGGUGAAAUUCGUAGAUAUUCGGAAGAACACCAGUGGCGAAGGCGGCUCACUGGUCCGGUACUGACGCUGAGGUGCGAAAGCGUGGGAGCAACAGGG
rnacentral:rRNA from 1 species